GAGCGAACAGGAUUAGAUACCCUGGUAGUCCACGCCGUAAACGGUGGGUACUAGUNGUGGGUUUCCUUCCUUGGGAUCCGUGCCGUAGCUAACGCAUUAAGUACCCCGCCUGGGGAGUACGGCCGCAAGGCUAAAACUCAAAGAAAUUGACGGGGGCCCGCACAAGCGGCGGAGCAUGUGGAUUAAUUCGAUGCAACGCGAAGAACCUUACCUGGGUUUGACAUGCACAGGACGCCGGCAGAGAUGUCGGUUCCCUUGUGGCCUGUGUGCAGGUGGUGCAUGGCUGUCGUCAGCUCGUGUCGUGAGAUGUUGGGUUAAGUCCCGCAACGAGCGCAACCCUUGUCUCAUGUUGCCAGCGGGUAAAGCCGGGGACUCGUGAGAGACUGCCGGGGUCAACUCGGAGGAAGGUGGGGAUGACGUCAAGUCAUCAUGCCCCUUAUGUCCAGGGCUUCACACAUGCUACAAUGGCCGGUACAAAGGGCUGCGAUGCCGCGAGGUUAAGCGAAUCCUUUUAAAGCCGGUCUCAGUUCGGAUCG
rnacentral:rRNA from 1 species